rnacentral:lncRNA from 1 species
CAGAAUGUAGAGGAGGGUUCAGCCCGUAAAAGGAAAGAAAGUUUCGUUAUCAGGAAAUCGAAACUUAAGCAGGGAAAGGGACGGGAUAUAACCUUAUAAGGGGGAUAAUGAAACUUAGGCAACGUCUUGGAAGAUUGUAACCCCAUAGUACUCAACCAAUGCAGAACUCGUGGAGGGACUUGUGUGCUAGGAGAUAAAUUACCUGUUGUGACUUCCCUGGAUGUACCUGCUCAGACACCCGACCUUGCAAGAUCGUUAUUAAAGUCUCACUUUCGCUGUUCUUCGUGCCUCUAAGUCCAUUCUUCGGGUUUGGAUGGAAUCCCCUUCCUUGUAUGGCUCUGAGUAAGAUUUGGCCAAGAGGAAUUUGCACAAGAUUUUAGAAGGCAGGAACAAUGCAACAGACGUGACUCAAUGAAGAUUUCAGGAUUAGGAUAGUGAUGGACACUCACAAAGGUAUGUGGAAAGCUUUAGGUUGUCCCCACUCUCCUCCAUUUCACAUCCCGCUCUUCCUGAAAGCAUACUAUCCUUUCUGCAAUCUCACCUCAGCAGCUGGAUGUGACUGUUUCCCAGAUUUCCCUAACAAGCUCUGACUUGUUCACCACACUAAUCCUUCAGAAAGCCUGGUUAGUGACUCCUCUCAUUCUCCACCUUUCCCUUCUGGACCUUCAUUUCUUCAGCAACUCCAACUGAGUAAAGGCCAAUUCAUUUGAUGAAUGCCAUAUGUCUUAACACACAUAGUAGCUCCACUUCUCUGACUGAACCUUGUCUCAUACAUUCCUCAAGAUCAAGAAAAACUGCAGGAUGCAGAAUAGCGUGUAUACUGCAAUUCAUGUUCUUUUUUUUUUUAAAGAGGGACAAAGAAAAUAAAUAUAUUUGCUUAUAUAUGCAAAAUCUCCAGGACAAAAAAACUGGUAAUAUUGGUUUCUGGAGGUGUCGAGAUAGGAAUGGAAGAGGGGUAUCACUGUAUACAUUCCUUUAUACAAUUUGAAUUAUGAAAUGUGAUUGUCUUAUCUACUCAAAAAUAAGUGCUUUAAGAAGACUUCUCAAAUAAAAUUAGUGAUAUAUCUUACAUAGGCCAUCUUCAUUUUAAGCCAGCUAAUAAGCCAUUCAUCUAUUAUUUGAAAUUAAAAUCAGUACUAUUCAUAAAUC